AGCUAACAAGCCAAGACAGGGCAAGCUGUGCUCACUCAUACACACACCUACAGCCCAUUUAGAAUCACUGAUUGACAAUGUGCAGGUUUUUGGGGUGUGGAUGGAAGCCAGAGCACUCACAGAAAGGUCAAAGUCGGCCUCUUGCUUAGUCAGGUGGUUCACUGAGGGAAAAGUCUGGCAAUUGAAAUUAUAAUUUCUUUAAUUUCACUUCACUAAUUUACAACAGAAAACAGUCAUGAUUUUGUGCCAAGUUGAGCCCAGCUCAUUGCACAACAAAGUUGACAAACCCUUUGACCUCUUCAACAAACUAUGUAGUCCAGAGCAAUAAGAGGACCACAAAAUGAAAUCCUUUUCACAUGUCUGCACAAUGCCACGGCUGACUGAACUCCAGCCCAUCAGAGAGACUGGUUUUCUGAAGGAUGGUCUAAACAGAAGGAAGCAACCAGGCAAGCUAAUGUAAUUUAUUUCAGCACUGUGCAUUAGCAGAUAAUAUGUAGCACUACAAAGAAUGUUGAAUGUUAACUAAAGUUAAGUCUUUCUGCCUUUCGGGAGCAGAUAAUUAAUCUUAUCCACCAGAAAAACGUAGUUCAGGCAGCAUCUGCUAAUGCUGUGGUGGCACAACAAUCCUGUUACUUUAGAAAAGGUGAGAAACCUCAGGUGGGAGGCAGUGGUAAUCAGACCAGUGUAUGGGUUGAUGCUGAAGAGCUCAUAACCGGGGCCCGGCAGGAGACUGUACCACACCACAGCAUUCUCCUCUGGGGGAUUGACACAAGAAGUUGAUAUGGUCUGGCUGAAGACGGGUGCCUGAUCGUUCACAUCAACCACCUCCACUGUGAGGGUCUGGGUGGACGAGAG